AGCGAACGCUGGCGGCAGGCUUAACACAUGCAAGUCGAGCGGGCGUAGGCAAGUACGUCAGCGGCAGACGGGUGAGUAACGCGUGGGAACGUACCUUUUUGGUUCGGAACAACACAGGGAAACUUGUGCUAAUACCGGAUAAGCCCUUACGGGGAAAGAUUUAUCGCCGAAAGAUCGGCCCGCGUCUGAUUAGCUAGUUGGUAGGGUAAUGGCCUACCAAGGCGACGAUCAGUAGCUGGUCUGAGAGGAUGAUCAGCCACAUUGGGACUGAGACACGGCCCAA
rnacentral:rRNA from 1 species